UCGUAAUGUAAAUGUAAUAGAAUUAAAAGAGUUGAUUAAAAGGUCAGCCACAUAAUGUUCAUAUUCACAGCUUAGAUACUUCAUCCAAAAUAAAUGUCAUGAAUCUAUAUGUGUUAUAUAAUGACAGCCAAACACAUGGUGUAUAUAAGUCAAUAUUUUGUCGAUUGAUCAACAUGUUACUUAUUUUUUUAUUUUAUUUAUUUAUUUUUUUUUUUUGUUGUUGUUUCUUUUAAUAUCAAAGAUAACUUUAGGCAUCUAACAAGACAAGAAUGAAUCACAAUGUAGUUUUUACUGGGACAGAUGUUUGGCUAGAUAUCCAGUGGUUCAAUAUAUUGACAAAGCGCAGAUACAUUGUAAGCUGCACAAGCAACUUCUUAUUAACUAGCUGUUGCAAUAUUUAAUGGAUGUAGGUUUUCUUUCGGUGAUAAUUAUUUUGUUAAUUUGAAUAAAAGAUAUUUUGAAACCUGAAAGUUCAAACUGCGCCUGAUAUUGCUUUCUGUUUAAAUUUGAGACUGGAGUAUUCCAAUUUUAUAAUUAUUUAGCUGUUACGCUUCAUUUUUCAUAUGAAAACACUAUUUAAUCCGGAAACAAUUAAGUUUAACUUAGUGAAAGAUAACUUUCUCUGGAUAUUUUGUGAUCUAGACAAAGUAGGCAUAAAUUCGGAUGUGUUUCCCAAAGAUAUAGACUAAUUCAAGAUCUUUUGUUUAAUCAAAGAAGCUAAACUCAAACAGAUUAAUUAAAAAACAUAUUUGUUAUCGUUGACAACGUAGCGAAAAGUUGUCAUGGAUGUACGCAAUUUAGAUGCCAAACUUGCCGACAGACAGUAUUCUAACCAAAAGAAAGAUCUGUUGUACUAUAUUUGUGGUUCUUGGUCUCCUGACUUUCUACGCUUGCUAUGUAGGAGUUGCAGUCGAACUACCUCCGGCUCCCGCAGAAAUUGACCAUGAACAAAACAGAAGGAAAUACCUUAAAUAAAGCGAGCAUUCAUAGAAAUAGAACUAUUGUGUUGAUUGUAGCGUACAUGAGGACCGGAUCGACUCUAACGGGAUCUCUCUUUCGAGAGUAUUCGAGUGCAUUCUAUGUUUUUGAACCAUUGCAUAUGCUACAACAGGCUUUUAGUAGACCAGCGGACGAUAAAGUGACAUUGAAAUACGUCAAUGGAACAACAAGAAAUUAUUUGGUAUCCGAGAGAAGUAAAGUGUUCUUGAUGAAAUUCACAAGUUGGUUGAAUUGUAAAAUUGAAUCUUUAAGUAUACAAACUCUCACCUGCCGUCACCACCGAGUUUUCACAAAAGUCAUGAUGGCCUUUUUUUAUUGUAGUCAAGGUCAUUUGUCUGCAAGUAUAAGCCAUGUUGAUGCAAACCUUGAAAGAUGUUUUAGAACAGCGAUAAGUUUUUGUAAGGAGGCACAGCUAUUGGCGUUUAAAUUCAUACGCUUGUCAAUGGAAGAAGCUUCAAAACUGUUGCCACUUGUAUCCAAAUAUGAAAAUAAUACAUCUUGUUAGAGAUCCCAGAGGAAUUAUACAGUCUAAGCUCAAAAUUAAAGCAGUAACAACAAAAACUUUCAAAAAGGACGUAGUAACAUAUUGCUCCAGAAUAGAGAAAGAUCUUAAAGUUUCAAAAGAAAUUCCGCAAAAACAUCCAAAACGAUUAAAAAUUUUGCACUACGAAGAUCUAGCUGAAAAGCCACUAGAAACAGCAGAAACUCUUUUUAAAUUUUUAGGGUUAACGUUUGAAAAACAUUUGCAAGAUUUUAUUUUUCAGCAGACGCAUGCGUCACAUAAAUCAUGUAAAUAUUGCACUCAAAGAAAGAAUUCUAGCAAAACUUCCAGUAAAUGGCGAUUACAUAUUGAUCAUAAUAUGGCGAUAUUUAUUUACGACACGUGCAGAACAAGUAAUGUUAUUUUAGGUUAUCUCCCUUUAGAAUCAGCCCAAGCGCUAAGAAACCGAACAAUUCCAUCAAGACGGUUAGUACAUGAAGUGUGAAUUAGUACAACAAGAAAACAGUGAUACUAAAUUUCAAAGCGGCUUACAGGAGAGCUAAUGAAGGAAUAUCGUAAAGGGGAAGAUGUUAUAUAAGGAUUUUUGUUGAUAGGUUCCAGAUCUUAUAAAUAGACUUAUCCAGUUCGAGGGUAAUUUGCUGUGCAGUCAUGUAGCUUUCGAUUGCAAGUAAGUUGCGAUAGACGCUGGCGCUAUGCACAAACAGUUCAAAUGUACCCUGAUGCCAGGAAUAUAGAGCAUGAAUGAUAUUCCUAAUAGACAGCGGUUUCCAUCUAUUACUUGCAUUUCUUUUAUUUUUGAAAGAGUAAAGACUUAGCGGAUUCCAUUUUCUUAUUACAGCAGUGUAACUAGUUUUCAUAUAAAUUUUCAUACACAAACGAUAAUUCCAAAUUUUUGUUCGUGGACAGAUGUUACAUAUAUUGAUUCUCACACAACUUAUCACAGUACAGCCCAAAGCAACGGAACAUAAUGCUCGAGGGUACCAGCUUGGAACGAACUGUAUUGAAAAAAUAUCGGCCUAAUAAAGUAUUAUGCUUGUUGUGAUAAAUAUCAAGUUAUAUUUCCACCAGGCGAUACGUACUGCUAUAGACAUUUAAUAGCGCAAAACUAUUUCAAAAAUAUUCUCAUGAUUGCGCUUCACACAGCCAUAGGUUAUUUACAAAUUCCAUCCUAUAACAUUUAACAUUUAAGCAGUUUAACCAUAAAACAUUCUAAUGACCUAAGUCUGAACGAUUGUUCAUUUUUUCAUACGUUUAAAGGUCACUAGGAAGUUCGUCCAACAGCAGCUAAGGAUCUAUCAGCGAGUCCCGAUCUUGUUCUUAGGUCAGUAAACUGAAUGUCUUUGAAGAUCUUAAACUGUAUUUUCUGGCUUACAUUAAACAUUAAGAUAAGAUAAGAUAAGAUAGAGAUUUUUCCUUGCACAGUACGAAAAGCAAUUUUCGG
rnacentral:lncRNA from 1 species